GAUGAACGCUGGCGGCGUGCCUAAUACAUGCAAGUCGAGCGAACAGACGAGGAGCUUGCUCCUCUGACGUUAGCGGCGGACGGGUGAGUAACACGUGGAUAACCUACCUAUAAGACUGGGAUAACUUCGGGAAACCGGAGCUAAUACCGGAUAAUAUAUUGAACCGCAUGGUUCAAUAGUGAAAGACGGUUUUGCUGUCACUUAUAGAUGGAUCCGCGCCGCAUUAGCUAGUUGGUAAGGUAACGGCUUACCAAGGCAACGAUGCGUAGCCGACCUGAGAGGGGGAGCGGCCACAAUGGAACUGAAACAGGGACCAGACCCCUACGGGAGGAAGCAGAAGGGAACCUUCCGAAAGGGGCGAAAGCCUGAGGGAGCAGCGCCGCGUGAGGGAUGAGGGUGUUGGUAUAGUAAAACUCUGUUAUGAGGGAAAAACAAAGGUGAAAGAAACUAUGCACGUCUUGACGGUACCUAAUCAAAAAGCCACGGCUAACUACGUG
rnacentral:rRNA from 1 species